rnacentral:tRNA from 1 species
AAGUGCCGGGAUAGCUC